CCGAAUGUUACCAAACAAACCACUGUGAACCGUCCCUUUAGCUGCUUCGGCGGGCGAUCCCAGGGCGGGAUCCCGGGCUCCUUACGGGGUGCUCGCCGGCGGCCACUUUCUAGCUCUGUUUCUAGCGGGCUUUCUGAGUGUAAACCAAAAAUAAUCA
rnacentral:misc_RNA from 1 species